UACGAAGGGGGCUAGCGUUGCUCGGAAUCACUGGGCGUAAAGGGUGCGUAGGCGGGUUUUUAAGUCAGGGGUGAAAUCCUGGAGCUCAACUCCAGAACUGCCUUUGAUACUGAAGAUCUUGAGUUCGGGAGAGGUGAGUGGAACUGCGAGUGUAGAGGUGAAAUUCGUAGAUAUUCGCAAGAACACCAGUGGCGAAGGCGGCUCACUGGCCCGAUACUGACGCUGAGGUGCGAAAGCUAGGGGAGCAAACGGG
rnacentral:rRNA from 1 species